rnacentral:lncRNA from 1 species
ACGCAGCCCGAGCCUCCCCAACAGGGUGCUGCCCCCUGCUCCAUGGUGCCCGGUCCCAUCAACUGCCCAAGGGCUGAGGAGAGUGGAUGCGUGGUGCGGGACUGGCAGGCAGCUCUGCCUGCAGCCCCGGCAUGGGAUCCACUAGCCAAAGCCAGCUGGGCUCCUGAGUCGGGUGGGGACUUGGAGAACUUUUAUGUCUAGCUGGAGGAUUGUACAUGCGCCAAUCAG